AAUUAUUAUAAAAUAUUGGAUAUAUUCCUGAAAGGUUGCUGCUGCAAGCCGUGUGUUAUGCUGGGAUUCGUAUCCUAUCCCCAGAGGAGAGGAUUUCGAUCUAGGGUCAGAGACAAGGCUUGACUACUUGGGGCUUUUCGUGUAAAGUUUUAUUAAAGUAUAACAGAGAUGGGGAAAGCUUCUGACACAGACAGAAAAGAGACAGAAAGAAUGCCCCUUUGCUAGUUUUUAGCAAGGUGUUUUAUGUCUGUUAGAAAGCUAUUAAUCAGGUAAGAAAGACACCUCAAGGCUGAGGGAGUUUUACCAGGCCCCUCUCCCACAAUAUGCAUUUUUGAGAUAGGAUGGCAAGAGGUGUGUCAUCCCCCGGCCAUAAAACAAUUGACAUAAAUGCUGGUUUAUUGAGCCAUUAUCAGCCUAAGGUUUGAGAAAAGAAAAAAAGUCAGUCUUAGGCAGAACCAUUUUGAAGAAAGGCAGAUUCCGAAGCAAAUACAUAGUUUCAUUACACAGCUUAAGAAAAACAUUUCCAUUAAAAAAACAAUAACAACAACAAAUGCAUUGGUUAGCUCAAGGAAGAACCAGGUGUCCUCAACACAGAAUUAAAAGCCUCUUUUAAAUUUGUGUAGAGAAGUGAAAAGAAAACCGUCUGCCACUUGGGGACCUCUGGCCUUCCUACCUGUUACCCUCUCAUUCCGUAUGCUCUAGCAUAUACUCCUGUAUAUAUUCCUGUGGCUUGUUUAUUUUGUACAUAGUUUGUACCUCUGUAUCUCCUACCUCCCUACUAUUUUUUUUUUCUAUAUCUGUGAGUCUGUUUCUGUUUCAUUAUAGUCAUCUUUUUAUUUUUUAGAUUCCAUAUAUAAAUGAUAAGAUACAGUAUGUCUUUCUCUGACUUAGUUCACUAAGCAUAAUACCCACUAGGUCCAUUUCAUUCUUUUUUUUUUCCUUUUUUGAGGUCAGAUGGCAUGUGGAAUCUUAGUUUCCUGACCAGGGAGUAAACCUGUGCCCCCUGCAUUAGAAGCAUGAAGUCUUAACCACUGGACUGCCAGAGAAAUCCCCCCAAAUUUCAUUCUUUUUAUGCCUGAAUAAUAUUCCAUUUGUGUGUGUGUGUGUGUGUGUAUAUACACACCACAUCUUCUUUAUCUGUUGAGGGACUGAUCAUCUGUUGCUGACUAUGGUAAUUCCUGUUGCUAUGAACAUUAGGAUGCAUGUAUCUUUUUGAAUUAGUGUUGUUUUUUACAGAUAUGUACCAUGGAAUGAAAUUGCUGGAUCUUUAUUGCAGUUCUGUUUUUAGUUUUUUGAGGGGUCUCUAUCUUGUUUUUCACAAUGGCUGUACCAAUUUACAUUCCUACGAACAGUUUUUUCGUAGGAAAAAAGGUUUUUCUCCACAUUCUCACCAACAUUUAUUAUUUGUGGUAUCUUUGAUAAUAACCAUUCUGACAGAUGUGAAGGGAUACUUCUUAUUAUUUGAUCUGCAUUUCUCUUAUUAGUAACGUUGAGCAUCUUUUCACAUGUCUAUUGGCCAUCUGAAAGUCUCCUUUGGAAGAAUGCCUAUCAGCUCCUCUGACCAUUUUUAAAUAGCAUUGUUUGCUUUUUGUUGUGAGACAGUAUGAGUUCUUUAUAUAUUUUGGGUAUUAACCCCUUAUAAGGUAUAUGAUUUGCAAAUAUUUUCUCCCAUUUGGUAGGCUGUCUUUUCAUUCUGUCAAUGGUUUUCUUUGCUAUGCAGAUCCCAUUUGUUUAUUUUUGCUUUUGUUUUCUUUACCUUAGGAGACAGAUUUUUUAAAAAUAUUGCUACAAUUUAUGUCAAAGAGUGUUCUGUUUUCUUCUUGGAGUUUUAUGGUUUUCAGUCUUACAUUUAGCUCUUUAAUCCAUUUGGAGUUUAUUUUUGUGUAUGGUGUGAGAAAAUGUUCUGAUUUCAUUCUUUUAUAUGUAACUGUCUAAAUUUCCCAGACUGCUUAUUGAAGAGUGAGUGUAUCUUUUCCCCUUUUCUAUUCUUGCCUCUUUUGUCAUAGAUUAAUUGACUGAAAACGUGUGGGUUUAUUUCUAGCUCUCUACUCUAUUCCAUUGAUCUUUGUGUCUGGUUUUGUGCCAGCACCAUACUGUUUUCAUAACAGAACAGGAAGAGCACAGCCCUUGGCAGGUAGCAUGCUGCUGCUGCUGCUGCUGCUGCUGCUGCUAAGUCACUUCAGUCGUGUCCGACUCUGUGCUACCCCAUUGACGGCAGCCCACCAGGCUUCCCCGUCCCUGGGAUUCUCCAGGCAAGAACACUGGAGUCGGUUGUCAUUUCCUUCUCUAGUGCAUGAAAGUGAAAAGUGAAAGUGAAGUCGCUCAGUCGUGUCCGACUCUAGCGACCCCAUGGACUGCAGCCUACCAGGCUCCUCCAUCCAUGGGAUUUUCCAGAAAAAAGUACUGGAGUCGGGUGCCAUUGCCUUCUCCGGGCAGGAAGCACUGCUAUGCCUAAUUACUCCACAUCCUGUUACUAGGCAACUAGGUCUUGCCCAGCCAUUGGUCGAUGCCUCAGUGGGCCCCACCCACAAGCAGCCAACUGUCAAUGAGUGACCGUUAGUUGUCCUGCUCAGCUAUUGUUCAGCACUGCAGUGGGCCCUGCCCAGUGGUAACUGUCUGUGAGGGACCACUGGGGAAAUGAUUCAGCCAAGGGGUGGCAGUGUGGUGGUCAUCAGGUGGAAAGUGAGGAGAGAGAAUUAACAGUCAUCGGGUAGAAAUUUACAGGAACAUCGUUAGCUGACCAUGACCAGACCUCAGGAUCAGAGAAUCUGACAUGGAGAAGUCGGCAGCAACCAGCCACGCCCAUCCCUCACCUUUUGCUUUUAAAGGGACUGCUGAAAGCUUUCAGUAACUUUGGGGUUCUUAGGGCAUGAGCCACCCAUUUCCUUGUAUGAAUCUGUAAUAAACCUUUCUCUGUUCCAAACUCUAAUGUUUACUGUUGAUGGGCCUCACUGUGUGUCAGGCACAUGGGCUUGUGAAUUUGGUAACAUUUUGAUUACUGUAGCUUUGUGGUAUAGUCUGAAGUCAGAAAGCAGAUUCCUAUCAGGCACAGGCUCAGGCUCCUUCACAAAAUUUACCUUAAAAAUUUUCU
ensembl:lncRNA